rnacentral:rRNA from 1 species
UUCUGCCACCGAAUACAUUAGCAUGGGAUAAUGGAAUAGGACCCUGUCCUCCUAUUUUCAGUUGGUUUUGGCAGCGCGAGGACUAGGGUAAUGAUUAAUAGGGAUAGUUGGGGGCAUUAAUAUUUAAUUGUCAGAGGUGAAAUUCUUGGAUUUAUGAAAGAUUAACUUCUGCGAAAGCAUCUGCCAAGGAUGUUUUCAUUAAUCAAGAACGAAAGUUAGGGGAUCGAAGACGAUCAGAUACCGUCGUAGUCUUAACCAUAAACGAUGCCGACCAGCGAUUAGGAGACGUUGAAUACAAAACACCACCAUCGGUGCGGUCGUCCUUGGCGUCGGUUUCGGCCGGCGCGAGGGCGGCUUAGCCCGGUGGCACCGGUGAAUGACUCCCCUAGCAGCUUGUGAGA